UCUUCAUUUCACACACUCUCUCACCGGUCAGAGGGGGCGAGAGAUUGUGCAAAAUGAAGAGA
rnacentral:pre_miRNA from 1 species